rnacentral:tRNA from 1 species
UGGGCCGUAGCCAAGCGGUAAGGCAACGGGUUUUGAUCCCGUCAUGCGCAGGUUCGACCCGAGCGGCGCAGCCG